rnacentral:lncRNA from 1 species
UGAAAGAUACCAUGGCAACCUGACAUGAAAUGAGUAAGACCAUGGUUGAAAGAUACCAUGGCAACAUGACGGGAAAAUGAAUAAGACAAUGGUUGAAAGAUACCAUGGCAACAUGACAGAAAACGAGUAAAACCAUAGUUGAAAGAUACUAUGACAUCAUGUCGAAGAUAAAUAAGAUCGAGGAAGAGAAACGCCAAGAUAUCUAUUGAACAAUCGAUAUUCAGGUAAUAUGUAUCAGAUGGAAUGGUUAUAUGAAAUGGUUGUGUGAAAUGUUUACAGGAAUUGGUCAUAUGGAAAUAUAUGUACAAAAUAGUUGUAUGAAAUAAUUAAGAAG